rnacentral:rRNA from 1 species
GAUGAACGCUAGCGGCAGGCCUAAUACAUGCAAGUCGAACGGUGUCUUCGGACAUAGUGGCGCACGGGUGCGUAACACGUAUGCAACCUACCUUACAUUGGGGGAUAGCCUUUCGAAAGGGAGAUUAAUACCGCAUAAGACAGUAGCUGGGCAUCCAGCAGCUGUUAAAGAUUUAUCGAUGUAAGCUGGGCAUGCGUCCAAUUAGCUAGUUGGUGAGGUAACGGCUCACCAAGGCAAUGAUUGGUAGGGGAACUGAGAGGUCAAUCCCCCACACUGGCACUGAGGUACGGGCCAGAAUCCUACGGGAGGCAGCAGUAGGGAAUAUUGGGCAAUGGACGCAAGUCUGACCCAGCCAUGCCGCGUGCAGGAUGAAGGCGUUAUGCGUUGUAAACUGCUUUUAUACAGGAAGAAACGACUCUUGCGAGAGGCAUUGACGGUACUGUAUGAAUAAGCACCGGCUAACUCCGUGCCAGCAGCCGCCGUAACAC